AUUGAACGCUGGCGGCAGGCCUUACACAUGCAAGUCGGACGAGUGGCGGACGGGUGAGUAAUAUCUCGGAAAGUGCCGAGUAAUGGGGGAUAACUAAUCGAAAGAGUAGCUAAUACCGCAUACUAUUCGAGCGGCCGAUAUGUGAUUAGCUAGUUGGUGGGGUAAAGGCUUACCAAGGCGACGAUCAGUAGCGGGUCUGAGAGGAUGACCCGCCACACUGGGACUGAGACACGGCCCAGACUCCUACGGGAGGCAGCAGUGGGGAAUAUUGGACAAUGGGCGCAAGCCUGAUCCAGCCAUGCCGCGUGUCUGAAGAAGGCCUUCGGGUUGUAAAGUACUUUUGUCAGGGAAGCGGUACCUGAAGAAUAAGCACCGGCUAACUCCGUGCCAGCAGCCGCGGUAAUAC
rnacentral:rRNA from 1 species